AAAGUCGUAACAAGGUUUCCGUAGGUGAACCUGCGGAAGGAUCAUUAAAAAUCUUGUGGUUGGGUGGGGUAGGUGGGUCUGGCUGUAGUAGCUACGACUCGACUACCCACGGCCCACAACACAUAUGCACAAGGCCGCAAGGCCUUGAUGUUUACGCUUGUUUGUUUGACAGAUUUAUUUGUGCCAAAAUAUAGACAACUUUUAACAAUGGAUCUCUUGGCUCUU
rnacentral:misc_RNA from 1 species